GAUCCUGGCUUAGGAUGAACGCUAGCGGCAGGCUUAACACAUGCAAGUCGAGGGGUAACGCGGUGUAGCAAUACACUGGCGACGACCGGCGCACGGGUGCGUAACGCGUAUGCAACCUACCUGUAACAGGGGCAUAACGAGGGAAACUUCCACUAAUUCCCAUAUGUGUGAUACCGCAUGAUAUUGCAACGAAAGCUUCGGUGGUUACGGAUGGGCAUGCGUGACAUUAGCUAGUUGGUAAGGUAACGGCUUACCAAGGCGACGAUGUCUAGGGGAGCUGAGAGGCUUAUCCCCCACACUGGUACUGAGACACGGACCAGACUCCUACGGGAGGCAGCAGUGAGGAAUAUUGGUCAAUGGACGGAAGUCUGAACCAGCCAUGCCGCCGUGGAGGAAGAAGGUCCUAUGGGUUGUAAACUCCUUUUGUUCCGGAGUAAUAAGUGGUUUGCGAACCACGAUGAGAGUACGGGACGAAUAAGCAUCGGCUAACUCCGUGCCAGCAGCCGC
rnacentral:rRNA from 1 species